GCAAAGGGCUAUUAAGUCUAUUCAAAUGGAAAAUUCGCCUGAGGCUAAGUUAAUUCCUUUUCCCUUAGGCCGUUUACAAACAAAGACGCUAAAGGCCAAACCUAAGGUUAGGAAUGUGACUUUAAACUCGCAGGACUAUACUAGCCCGCAGGGAGAUUCUAGGGACGAAUAUCAUAGAGGACAAACCUCCGAGAUCUUAGAAAGCCCUCCGGAAGAGGUAGAGGAUCAUCCUACAGAGGAAAAUCUGGAAGAGAUUCCUAGAGGGGCUCAGAGUUCUUCUCCGCCACGUGGUUUAGAAACCCAAAUUCAAAAUGGCGAUAGUACAGAGUCUGACCAUGACUUGCAAUCUGAGGGAGAAGAAUCAGACAUGGAAAUUCAGGACUUACAGAGGAAUCUUAACAGGCUGCGUUUAACACCGCCUGUCCAGGCUAUUCGAAUUCGGCCGGUACCUGCUAAAAGGACAAAAUUUAACAGGUACGCUGGGUUAACAAUGACUUUUCUUACCCCGUUCCAGCGAGGUAUUAAGAAAGCACAGGAAGAUGGGGAGGAUACUAGCGGUUUUCAACUUUUUCCAGUUUUUGAGCAAGUUAAUGAACAAGAUCAGAGAGUUAGAGUUCAUGCUGUAAUCCCAUUUAAAACCAUUAAGGAACUAAAAAGUGCAUGUGAGACAUAUGGUCCAAAUUCCCCUUUUGUACAGAGCCUGAUAGAAAAUAUUUGCUCACAACCCCUUCCUCCUAGCGAUUGGAUUUCUUUAGCCAGAUCUUGUCUGAGCGGGGGAGAUUUCUUACUUUGGAGGACUUACUGGACUGAUUUCUGUACUGAACAGGCAGAAAAGAACAAAAGACAGGAUAUAGAAACGCCAGUAGAAAUGUUUCUACGGACAGGUGAAUUUACUGACCUAGAAAGACAGUUAAAUUAUGAUUUUGUAGUGUACAAUCAAAUAACUGAUUGUGCGAAACGCGCCUGGAGACAAAUUGUCUCCAAGGACCAGUCCAAUUUAGUUCUUACCAAAAUCAGGCAAGGUGCGAGUGAACCUUACUCAGAUUUCGUAGCCCAGUUGUACCAGGCUGCAAACAGGUCAAUUGGGGACUCGGGAGCGAGUGAGUUCAUUGUUAGGCAAUUGGCAUUCGAAAACGCAAAUAAAUACUGUCAGGAUAUUCUUAGACCGCACCGUAAAAAAGGGACAGUUUCUGAGUUUAUUCGCUUAUGUUCUGACAUAGACUCUACUCAUUUACAAACAGUGGCCCUAGCUGCAGCAAUAAAAGAAACUUUGAAACCACAGGAUUUAGUACGAAAACCCCGCGGAAAAUGUUACAUUUGCGGGAGAAAUAAUCAUUUUGCGCGGGAUUGUCGCAUGCGCAAUUCUAAGUUCAGGGCUCCAUCUACUGGCGAUAAUAGAUAUUGCAGGGCUCAGCCCCAUGCGGUAGAUCAAGAUGGCGCGGAUGAGCCCGCCUUCUUGUCAUCAUUUCCGCCUGGCCGGAACACAAACUUCCGGUCGGCCCGCCCCCGGGCCGAAAAUGAGGAAGUAGGUGGUCGCGCAAUGUGACGUCAUCGCGCCGACCAUGGGGGCCGCCAUCUUUAAUUUUACCGGAGCGAAACAAGCAGUUUCCGUACAAAC
rnacentral:lncRNA from 1 species